GGUGGCUCAGUGGUAGAGUGCUUGCCUUACAUGCACGAGGCCCUGAGUUCAAUUCCUCAGUACCA
rnacentral:tRNA from 1 species